GACGAACGCUGGCGGCGUGCCUAAUACAUGCAAGUAGAACGCUGAAGAGAGGAGCUUGCUCUUCUUGGAUGAGUUGCGAACGGGUGAGUAACGCGUAGGUAACCUGCCUGGUAGCGGGGGAUAACUAUUGGAAACGAUAGCUAAUACCGCAUGAUAUUAAUUGUCGCAUGAUAAUUAAUUGAAAGAUGCAAUUGCAUCACUACCAGAUGGACCUGCGUUGUAUUAGCUAGUUGGUGAGGUAACGGCUCACCAAGGCGACGGUACAUAGCCGACCUGAGAGGGUGAUCGGCCACACUGGGACUGAGACACGGCCCAGACUCCUACGGGAGGCAGCAGUAGGGAAUCUUCGGCAAUGGGGGGAACCCUGACCGAGCAACGCCGCGUGAGUGAAGAAGGUUUUCGGAUCGUAAAGCUCUGUUGUAAGAGAAGAACGGGUGUGAGAGUGGAAAGUUCACACUGGACG
rnacentral:rRNA from 1 species